UUGACAUCCAGAGAAUUUAGUAGAGAUUGCUUUAGUGCCUUCGGGAACUCUGAGACAGGUGCUGCAUGGCUGUCGUCAGCUCGUGUUGUGAAAUGUUGGGUUAAGUCCCGNAACGAGCGCAACCCUUAUCCUUUGUUGCCAGCACGUAAUGGUGGGAACUCAAAGGAGACUGCCGGUGAUAAACCGGAGGAAGGUGGGGAUGACGUCAAGUCAUCAUGGCCCUUACGAGUAGGGCUACACACGUGCUACAAUGGCGCAUACAAAGAGAAGCGACCUCGCGAGAGCAAGCGGACCUCAUAAAGUGCGUCGUAGUCCGGAUUGGAGUCUGCAACUCGACUCCAUGAAGUCGGAAUCGCUAGUAAUCGUAAAUCAGAAUGUUACGGUCGAAUACGUUCCCGGGCCUUGUACACACCGCCCGUCACACCAUGGGAGUGGGUUGCAAAAGAAGUAGAUAGCUUAACCUUCGGGAGGGCGUUUACCACUUUGUGAUUCAUGACUGGGGUGAAGUCGUAACAAGGUAAGCGUAGUGCU
rnacentral:rRNA from 1 species